AUUGAACGCUGGCGGCAUGCUUUAUACAUGCAAGUCGAACGGCAGCGCGGGCUUCGGCCUGGCGGCGAGUGGCGAACGGGUGAGUAAUGCAUCGGAACGUGCCCAGUAGUGGGGGAUAGCCCGGCGAAAGCCGGAUUAAUACCGCAUACGACCUGAGGGUGAAAGCGGGGGACCGAAAGGCCUCGCGCUAUUUGAGCGGCCGAUGUCGGAUUAGCUAGUUGGUGGGGUAAAGGCUUACCAAGGCGACGAUCCGUAGCUGGUCUGAGAGGACGACCAGCCACACUGGGACUGAGACACGGCCCAGACUCCUACGGGAGGCAGCAGUGGGGAAUUUUGGACAAUGGGGGCAACCCUGAUCCAGCCAUGCCGCGUGCGGGAAGAAGGCCUUCGGGUUGUAAACCGCUUUUGUUCGGGAAGAAAUCCUCUGGGCUAAUACCCCGGGGGGAUGACGGUACCGGAAGAAUAAGCACCGGCUAACUACGUG
rnacentral:rRNA from 1 species